rnacentral:rRNA from 1 species
UACGGAGGGUGCAAGCGUUAUCCGGAUUCACUGGGCUUAAAGGGUGCGUAGGCGGAUUUGUAAGUCCGUGGUGAAAUCUCUAAGCUUAACUUGGAAAUUGCCGUGGAUACUAUAAGUCUUGAAUAUUGUGGAGGUUAGCGGAAUAUGUCAUGUAGCGGUGAAAUGCAUAGAUAUGACAUAGAACACCAAUUGCGAAGGCAGCUGGCUACACAACUAUUGACGCUCAGGCACGAAAGCGUGGGGAGCAAACAGG